rnacentral:lncRNA from 1 species
GUGGAGACACUGCACUCCUCCAGAAAGGCUGAACCAACCCAGAAGAUGGAUGGUAAUAGAAUCUUGGAUAGCAUGAGCCAUGUUCUUCCCAAAACACCUGUGACAACGUUGGUGCCAGGAAGUGUAUACAGACAACUCACAAAAGCAGGAAAAUCACUCAGGAACCUGCGGGUGAACGCCUGGUCGCAACUCGUGGAAUUGCCCCGACACCACAAAGCCUACGUCUAAGACUGCAACUCUAGUCUUGCUUCAGACAAAGCUGUGUUCCCCAUCUGAAAACUGAACUUUCCAUACCAACCCCUUUAUUUUACAUGUAAAGAAACUAAGAGCAAUGCUGGAGAUGCCGGCCAUAUAGUAGUUUUGCCGGCUCAGAAUCCUUUUUCCCUUCUGGCAACAGCUGACUUCGUGGACUGUCAUCUG